rnacentral:lncRNA from 12 species
CCCUGGUCCAUCUGUCCAAUGACAGCACUGACAUUGCUAAAUGUCACAAAGUGAAGCUGCCAGAGUUGCUCCACGUGCUGCUUCCAGUAUCCUCUUGGAGCUGAAAUUCCUGUGUGCGCAUGCAGCAUCCAGAUUCAUCACACUAAAUCAUCAGUGUGGCAAAGUUGUUCCCAGUCAUUGCUCUGUUUAUUUUCGAUGUCCCAUCCUAUCAGCUCAAAUUGAGUUGGGAAGAGGUAAAGCAACAAGAACAGGCAGUUUUUAA